GUUUUCGUGAAAUCAUGUGAUGAGUUGGAAGAUCUUGCAGGUCUCUGUGGAUGGGAAGGUCUGGAUUACUAUUGAUAGGCGUUAUUUCUCUGUAUGUUGCUGCAUCCCGUCGAAUAGAGGGAGGUGUAAUGUUUGAAGUUACUGGUAGCCACUGCGCUGGAGUUGGUAGCAGCGUUCCAGACAGAGCCCUCAUUACUGAGUGGUGUUGUGUGUUGGGGAACUUGGUACAUCUACUUGAGGUCCAGAUGGGUGCAUAGUACUCAGCUGUUGAGAAGACCAGGGUUAUGGCAGAAGUGCGGAGCACAGAGGUUUUUGCAUCUAGCGUGUACUGGCAAGGUUUUGGAUGAUGUCCACUUGUGCCUUUGUUUUCAUUGCAGUCUUUCGGAGGUCAUAACUGUAGGUUAGAGAGCGAUCAAGAGUUGCCCUGAGGUAGGUAGGAGCUGGGUCUCCACAAAAGGUGAUGUUGAGGGUAUGUGCCUUGCAAUGGUAAAGAUGAAAUGCAGAGAUGAUGGACCUGGUUGGAUUUGGUCGUAGUCUCCACUUAUGGACGUAUUCAGCCAUUACUGAUAAAUCAGAGUCCAAUGUGGCUUCAGUAUCCUGAAAAAACUUUGCUUGCGUGGUCAAAGCAAUGCUGUUGGCGUAGAUAAAUUUCUGCUGUGUUGUGUAUGGCAUAUCACUUAUGCAGAUGGUAAAAAGUGUUGGUGCCAGAACAGUACCCUGUGGGAAGCCAUUGUUGAGUAUUCUUGGAGCGCUGACUGAUCUUGUAGCUGCACCUUCAUCCUUCUGUUGCUCAUCAAAGUCCACAGCAGCCAGAGUAAUAUGGCACAUGGCAGCAGCAGGGACAGUUUGAGCUUCAGGCUGUGUUUCCACACAGGAUCAUAGGCUGAGGAAAGAUCUAUGAAGGCAGCCCUGGUCUUGAGCUUGUGGUGAAAACCAGCCUUGAUGUUUGUAGUGAUGGCAAGAACUUGUUCACAGCUGCUGUGAUGGGGUCUAAAGCCAGCCUGUUCUUGCGGGAGGAAUAGGUUGAUGAUAGAGCUGGUUCUUACAAAGAUGCACUGCUCCUAUAAGGAGCUUACAGGUUGAGCAGAGCAAAGAAAGGGGCCCAUAGCUCCCAGGGUCAUGUACUGGCUUUCCUGGUUUUGGCAGGGCUAGCACCACUGCCUCACAUUGGCUUUGUGGAAUAUGGCUGUUCUCCAUCACAGCUGAAAAGAGCCAGAAGCCAUUGUUUUGCCAUUGGGCCAAGAUGGAGGAGGAAUUCUGGUGGAAUACCAUUUUUCCCAGCAGUUUUGCCCUUUGUGGAUGCUAAGCCAGUAUCCAGGUCUGCAAGAGUGACAUGGUCUGACAGUUGAGAGAACUCUGGACAAUUAGUCAUCGUCUCUCACUAUUCUUCUUAACUUCCUGUUAGUGUUGUUUUUCAAGGGAUCUCUUUGAGUUGGCCAUCAAUUUGGCAGUGACAGUAUUUGGGCUGACUCUGGGUUAGCUAGGUUUGCUGCUCCAGGUCUGCGGAUUCCACGCAGUCCAGCCAGCUUUGUUGUCUGCAGAUAUUAAAGAUUCAAGUAGUGCUGUGGCUAAUGCUGGGUCUGCAGUUGUUGAUAUUGUUGGAAAAGGGCUUCACAGUCAUGGCUCCAACAAGGGAUGUAUCGCUCUCUGAAACGUCGAGGGAUGUUCUUCUUAGCUGCAGCAACAAGCAGAGCCACGAAACAAUUGUACUGUUUUGGCAUCAGGGAGAUGCAGUGGAUAGUUUUCUCCAUGACAGGGGUUUCAACCCCUUGUGGCUGGUAACCAGCCUAUGUUGGCUGUGGGAAGUCUGAUAGGACAGUUUGGGACAGGCGUAUAGAGAUGCCUUCGCUACCUGACAAGACAAGGGUGAGGUCGGGAUUGUAUUCCCUCCCCCAUCUUGCUGAUCGAAAAGUUGCACAAUGUUUGGCCUCAUACACAAGGUGAACAUCCCAGGCUGACAUCCAGUCUUUCAGGGCUUCUCCACUGGUGUCAUUUCCAUCGUAGCCCCAUUCAGUAUGGUGACUGUUAAAGUCUCCCUUAUAUUUGGUUGGAUGUUGAGGGGAGAGCUAGAUUAGGCCAUUCUUCAUUGUGGGGGUUUGUAGAUAUUGCUAACGGUCAGCUUACCAAUCUUGACAGCUGCUGUAGCGGUGCCUCUGUGAUACAGCUGGUAACGUCAUCUUUCAUGCAGCGCUCCAGGCCAUAUUUUACAUGGUGUAGGGUGUGGCAGGCUUAGAGCCAUAGCUCUUAUAGCGGCAUGCUUGCUUGUUGUUACAACUUGCGUUUCCUGUUGUGUGAGAUCAUCAGUGUCAUUGGUUCUCAGCAUCUUUCCUAAGUAGUCACACUUAGCCUGUGAAAGACCAACAUUCAAUUGACAAAUCCAUGUUCCAGGGACUAAUCGUGGUGCUUGGUCUUGAAAAGGAUUGUUGUAAUCACUUCAAUAUUGAGUUAUGCUCCAUUGACUGGGAGGCCAAUUAAAGGCACUUGGUCGCUAUUUUGGUGACAUUAGUUGCAGACUCAGGAGAUCAAAAAGUAAGCAGACUGCUUAAGAGGGUGGGUCACAAGAAGGCUGUCACCAUCUGUUUGGGACUGGUGGAGAUGCGUUGCCAGGUUUUACAUCUCUUGUGGUGGUUUGAAUCCAUUCAGUGUGCUUUGGGCCAUAGAAAGUUUGGUUCUGGUGAGGAGGUUGGCUAGGUUCGGUGCUUGUUUAAAGGCUAGGAUGGGUGGCUCUGGGAAGAUCUCUUUAAGAGUUGGGUCUUCUUCUAGUAUGGGUUGCAGCUGUUUGAGGAUUUUCCAGACUGGUUCCAGGGAAGGAUGGUGUGUCAUAGCUAACUGUGUAUGGUUCGUGGGGGGUUUCUUUUUGUACUGCAGUCAUUCUUCACGUGGUAUCCGGAUGGCUCUUUCAAAAGUGUGAUCUAUCUCUCUGAAGUGGUGUCCUUGUUGCGAUUUGCGAGGUGACAAUCGUGAGUGUUCUCCUUGGUGCAAGUUUGGUGGUAUCAGAGGGCUUGGCUGUGAUAUCAGCUUUCUUGGUGUGUUGAGGGUGAUUGCUGGUUCUGUGCAGAUAUGUAUGUUGGUCUGUGGGUUUCUUGUAUACCAUCGUUUGUAUUUCACCAUUCUGGAUAAAAAUCAUUGUAUCUAAAAAGGAAAUGUUUGUGCUGGAGUAUUGAAGAGAGAAUCUGAUGGAGGGGUGAUGAUUGUUGAAUAUCUGAUGGGAAUCAAUCAGAGUUCCAGGGUUUUGGUCCAAAUGAUGAUGAUGUCAUCUAGAUAUUUCAGGUAUAGCAUGGGUUUCAUGGGGCAGUUCUUGAGGAAUUUUUCUUCCAGAUGGGCCAUAAAAAGGCUAGCAUCUUGUGGGGCCCUUUUGGUGCCUGUAGCUGUGCCCAUGGUCUGAAGGAAGUGUUGGUUGUUGAAAGUGAAGUUGCGUGUGAGGAUGAAGUGUGGAAGUCCAGUAAUAUCCUGAGGGCUAUACUUGGAGCUGUAAUAUUCCUCUCGUAGAUAUGUGAGGCAGGCUUGGGUGCCAUCCAGUGUGGGAUGCUGGUAUAUAAGCUAGUAACGUCCAUGGUGGCUAGGAGGGUGGUGUGUGUUUUAAGUUUUUGUAGAAAGUUUGUUGUGUCUUGGAAAAAGUCGGUCUCAGGUUUUAGGAUGGAUUCGAUGAAUCCUGAGGUUUCCUCAGUUCGGGUUCCAUGGUUGGAUAUGAGAGGUCUGCUGGUGUUCCCUUGUUUGUGGGUUUUAGGGAAGUGUAAAGAGUCCCUGGGUUGGGUCAUGGGGGAUCAAGUUCUGUAGUUUCUCUUGUAGUUCAGAUAGAAAUGAUGUGAUGGUGGUUUUGAGUUUUAAGGUGAAAAGGGGAGUUGGAUUUUCGUUUAGUUCAGUGGUCUCCAACUUUUUAAAGUAGGAGAUCACCUUUGGCAUUUAAAAGCAACCCAAGAUCUACCGUACAACGUUCCUGACCUGCCCCCACCCCCCACCCCCAGCAGUAAGUCUGUGGGGAGGGGAAGGGGGGGCAGAUCAAAGCAGAGGGAGAAAAAAUUAUUUGGGGGCAUGCCUCCCCAGCACGUAAGUCUGUGGGGAAGGGGAAGGGGGAGUGGGGUAGAUCGAGGUCCCAGCUCCAGCCCCACUUCUGCCCUCACCCUGGGGACCUCGAUCUGGCCCCUGCCCCCUUCCCUCCCCCACGGACUGACCUGCUGGGCUGGGGGUGCGGCAUGUACGUGCAUGCACCCGCGCACUCAGCCCUGCACCCCAGCCUCGGAUCAACUCCACAGGAGGCUCCGAGAUCUACCAGUGGAUCGAGAUCCACUGGUUGGUGAUCACUGCUCUAGCUCUUCAUCCUACAUGGUGGCAGAGUUGUGUGUUGGUUUCUUUGAUGUAGUCUUCGUGGUUAACAAUAACUAUCGCUCCUCCUUUAUCUGCUGGUUUUAUGACUAUUUGGUGGUCAGAUCUUAGAGCUUCUACGGCCCAUCUCUCCGAGAGGGAGCGGUUGUUGUGGUGCCGUGCGCUGGUUAUUUCAUUGUUUGUUCUGUCUCUGAAGCCGUCAAUGUAGCCAUUGGGGUUUGGUUUUUGUCUGCUGUGAAGUGUCCACUCUGAUGUGUUUUUUGGAGUUUUUGGUGUUAACCUUUUCCUUGAUGUUGUGACAGGAUGAAGUGUUGUUGAAAGUGGAUUCACUUUGGUUGUGGAAAUAUUCCUUGAGUUGGAGGCAUUGGAAAAAUUCUUCUAGUUCUCCACAUUGUAGUCUCUCAUGAAGGUGUUUAUCUGGGCAGAAAUGAAGGCCUGUAGGAGAGGACAGAUUUAUCAGCUUUGCUAAGUGCGUGCAUGCAGAGAUGGAUAAUAUUUGAGGCUUGACUGGUUCCUUCAGUUCCAUCAGGUCUGAGGUUGGAAUGUCACACGUUGUUGGUGGCGUUUCUCUGAGGGUUGUUUAGUGGCUGGGAAAGUUGUUCCUGGAGUAAUUGCUUCAAUUUCUUCUUUUUAUGUUGGAUGGAUGUUGUAAAAAGUCUUUGGAAGUCUCUUUGUAAAUGUUAUAUGAUGUCUGGGAAGAUAUCCGGAUUGAUCUCUCUUAACUUGUUACAGCCUGUGUUGGUUUCCUCCUUAAGUUGAUCUCUCUUGGAGUAGGUGAAGUGAAGGAGAUGAUUUCUUUGUUUUUCUGAAGUUCUCCUGCAUAGCAAUGAAGAGUAUUUGGGGUUGUGUGUCAUAGUCAGAGGAUUGUAGAUAUUCAGUCCUCUGGGAAUGAUGUUGUGUUUCUUGCAUAGGCUUAGAAAAUGUUUGGCUUCAUGUUGUGAAGUUUCGAUUUCAAAUGGCAAAAUUCAAUAUCUUCUAUGUUUCAGGGGUGUUGGCUGUAGCUGUGUUGGUCUAAGGACACAGGCAGAGAAGGCUCUUUGCAUAAAUGUGAUAUCUUUUAUUAGACCAACUGAAUAGUUGGAAAAAUUGUUCUUUGCAAGCUUUUAGGUACAAACACCCUCCUUCAGGCAGAGGAAGGGUCUGCUGCUGUUAUUGUGUUCUCCAUGGUGGAAGAGAAGCCGACAUGCAAAAUACAGGUCUGUGAAAAUCCAAAUGCGUGGCAGUGAGAAUCAAAGGCUAUGGGAGAUGAUAGGUGUGAGAUUCUAGCAGGACUUUUGAUAUGUUCUCCCACAACAUUCAUGCAAGCAAGCUAAGAAAGUCCCAGCUGGAUGAAUGGAUUGUAAGGUGGAUAAAAAACUGGCUGGAGCAUUGGGCUCAGAGGGUAGUAAUCAAUAGCUUGAUGUCUAGUUGACAGCCGGUAUCAAGUGGAGCGCUUUAGGGGUCGGUCUUGGAGAUGGUUUUGUUCAAUAUCUUCACCAACGACCUGGAAGAUGGCAUAGAGUACACCCUCAGCAAGUUUGUGGAUGACACCAAGCUGGGAGGAGUAGUAGAUAUGUUGUAAGGUAGGGCUGGUAUUCAGAGAGACUGUGACACAUUGGAAGAUUGGGCCAAAACAAAUCUCAUGAGGUUCAAAAAGGACAAAUGCAAAGUCCUGCACUUGGGAUGGAGCAAUCCAAUGCACCAGCACAGGCUGGUGGCUGACUGCUGGGCAGUAGCUCUGCAGAAAAGGAUCUAGGGGUGACAGGGCACAAGAAUCUGAGUAUGGCCAGCAGUGUGCCCUUGUUGCCAAGAAGGCUAACAGCAGAUGGACGGCAGCAUGCAGUGAUUCUUUUCUUCUAUUCAGCACUGGGGAGGCCACAUCUGGAGUCAUUUUGGGCCCCCCACUACAGAAAGGAUGUGGACACAUUGGAAAGGCAAUGAAAAUGGUUGAGGGGCUGGGGGACAUGGCUUGUGAAGAAAGGCUGAGGGAACUGGGCUGAUUCAGUCUGCAGAAGGGACGACUGAGGUUGAUAUUUGAUAGCUGCCUUCAACUCCCUGCAGGGGGGUUGCAAAGAGGAAGGAGCUGGCCUGUUCUCAGUGGUGGCAGAUGACAGAACAAGGAGCAAUGGGCUCAGGCUGCAGCAGCAAGGGAAGCUGGGUUUGGAUAUGAGGAAGAACUUUCUUUUCAGAAGGGUGGUAAAGCACGGGGACAGGUUACCCAGAGAGAUGGUGGAGUCUCCACCCUUGGAGAAGUUGAAGACCCAGGUAGACAAAGCCUUGACUGGGACGGAGUAGUUGGGGCUGGUCCUAAUUUGAGUAGGGGGUUGGACUAGAUGUGACCCGCUGAGGUCGUUCCAACCCUCAUUGUCUAGGAUUCUAUGAAUUGCAAGGAAAUAUUUACUAUGCUGAUUAACUAAGAAAAAAUCUUCCCCCACCCCACAGAUCCUGCUGAGAUUCUUCCUCAGCGUGCACAUCGAGGACAUGCCAUUUUUUGAGGAAGAUUUUGAUGACUUGCAGGGGCCGAUAAGGACCUACCACCUGUGGGAACAGGUCAGCUACAGCUGCUUCAUCAUGGCUGGGCUCUACAUGCUGCUGGGCUGCUUCUUCUGCCAGGUCUGGCUCAACAAGCACAGGGAGCACAUGGUGCACUAGGACCCCCCCCCCAGCCCCCUUCUCCAAUGGGACCAGCCGCCACCUCUUAUUUAUUGACCCCCAGACCAUAAUCCUUUGCUCCUGGCCCCCUCCCCAGUCUCCCUAGUAGCUGGGGGGGACUCUGGGUAACUGGGAGCAGAUUCAGCUACUUGGACCGGCAGGAAGGGGGUUGGGGGGGAAUCUAGCACUCUGGUGCCCCCCCUUUCUGUGUAUAGGGGGGGUCUGAGCUGCAGGGAACCUGCUCCAGGGUUUUGCCGCCACUUCCCACCCAGUCUGUCUGUCUCCAACCCUGGAGCGUCUUGCCUGAGGCAGGAAAUGGAGUUGAAUCCUGCAGCUGCCCUGGAGCCUUGGGGCUGUGGGUUUUCUUUUGGUGGGGGCGAUUGGCUUUAUAUGGGGGGCAGGGGGGUUCUCGAGUUUAUUUCAGUGUGCAUUGUAGGUAGGUGGGGGGCCCAGCUUUAUGGCUUUACUUAAAAAAAGCAAGUUCAUGGUUUUAUGGGAGUAAAAAUACAUUUGAAAAUAAGCCCAAACCCACACCUCAACUGAUGGGAAAGAAGAGAGUCUUAAGGUAAACACAAUGUAAAAAUGGAACAAUACAUUAUAAGUGCUACUGCAACAUCACAAAAAAUGUGUGUGCACAUAAUAUUGCCUUUCUUAAAAAAUAGAACUACACAGACAAUCCCCAAUUUUGUGAAACAAAAUCUUGAAUCUGGAUCAAAGCGUGAAGCCUGUUGAUGUAACAGUGAAUGUUGCAGUAGUAGCAAUAAUGGCACAGCCCGAUUUACAAAUAAAGCACCAAAAAGCCAAAAAUGCAGCUAAAAAAUUUUAAUUACUUGGCAUCGUGAUGCCCAGCACAUCGCACAAGUCGGGUAAAAUGAGUAAUAGCUCAUGGUGUAUAAAAGAAAUCAGUUACAGUAAUGCCCAGUGGCUGCUGUCGGAUUAAAUUUAAUAUUAUGCCAUUUUGGCGGCCUCAACAGCAAUGAUGAGAGCCCCGGCAGCCUCGGCAGCAGCUUUGUCGGCCAUAGUGGCAUCCCCUGGAGGCACCUUGGUGGCCUUGCUGGCAACCUUGCUGGCAGCAGCUGUAGCAGCCUUAGAGGUGGCAGCUGCAGCAACCCUGGUGGCAGCAACCAUGGCGGCCUUGGUGGUGGCGUUCUUGGUAACCACAGCAGCCUUGGCGUCCUCCUCGGCAAACUCCUUGCAGCCCCCAACAAGUUAUGCCGUGGACUUGGGGGAAGCCCUGUCAGCAACAACCGUGACAAUUUCCCUUAUGAUCCCAUGGGCAACGUCAGCACUGGCACCAGCGUAAGACUUGGCUUCCUGGCCCUCAUGGCACUGAUGGUAGCUCCCCUGGUGGUGGCCAGGGCGACUUCAGCCUGGACAGCAGGUUUGUCCCUAUUGCCUGUGCUCUCUGUGGGGAAAAGACCGGGGAUGACGGCUGCCCCCAUCGACCUGACCUAAAUUAAAACAAAAGGAAAUAAUAAUUUAAAAAUGUUGAAAACAAAUUGAUCCUGAGCUUCCAGUGCAAACUCAGAUACGAAUAAUAAAAAAAAAAGUAAGACUUUUACUUUGCAGCGCAACUCCACUUAACUAAACAACAUAGGCCCAUAACCAUAAAGAGGGGGCUGGGUCCUAUGGGCUAGAGUGUCCGCUGGCACCAGAGACAUACGGCUAGAGCAUCACCAGCCAUCGAGGUACUGCUGCAGCCAUCAAAAGGGCACAACUACCCGUGGUGCCCUUCUGGUAGGUGAUGGGGUGAUGGGGAAGGGGGCUGAGCACAUGACCCUGCCUCCCCCACUUUUGGGAGAAAUGCCGGGGAAACCCGCACCUCCCGUCACCAUGCCAUGUAUGGGCAUGUCGUUCUCUUCCCGCCCCCCACAGUUUUGCAAUACAAGGCACUUCAUGUCCCCUCCCCUACACGCCACCCUUGGGCGAUGCUGCCCCCCCCCCUGCUUUUGCCUGCAUCUGCCCCUUUCCACACACGUGCCUGGGGACUGUUUUUGCCUGCACUGCUCGUUGUGCGGUGGCUUUCACUCUUGCUGCUGCUACUCGCCUCCACCACCCACGUGUCUGCACCCUGACCCUGGAACUUGUUCUUAUACAGUAAAUGGAGCUGGAUCUUG